rnacentral:ncRNA from 1 species
UACUAUCGAUUGAAUGGUUUAAUAAGGUCAUUGGAUUGUUGUCGUUGUAGUGGCUUUUCUGCUCGACUGAUGCUGAGAAGAUGACCUCAUUUGAAUAUUUAGAGAAAGUAAAGGUCGUAGCAAGGUUUCCGUAGGUGAACCUGCGGAAGGAUCAUUA